rnacentral:rRNA from 1 species
AGAGCGAACGCUGGCGGCAGGCUUAACACAUGCAAGUCGAGCGGAUGUAGCAAUACAUCAGCGGCAGACGGGUGAGUAACACGUGGGAACGUACCUCUUGGUUCGGAACAACACAGGGAAACUUGUGCUAAUACCGGAUAAGCCCUUACGGGGAAAGAUUUAUCGCCGAAAGAUCGGCCCGCGUCUGAUUAGCUAGUUGGUGAGGUAAUGGCUCACCAAGGCGACGAUCAGUAGCUGGUCUGAGAGGAUGAUCAGCCACAUUGGGACUGAGACACGGCCCAAACUCCUACGGGAGGCAGCAGUGGGGAAUAUUGGACAAUGGGCGCAAGCCUGAUCCAGCCAUGCCGCGUGAGUGAUGAAGGCCCUAGGGUUGUAAAGCUCUUUUGUGCGGGAAGAUAAUGACGGUACCGCAAGAAUAAGCCCGGCUAACUUCGUGCCAGCAGCCGC